GGCUGCGUGAUCUAGUGGUAUAAUUCUAGCCUAGGGUGCGAGAGGUCCCGAGUUCAAUUGUCGCCACAGGCCU
rnacentral:tRNA from 1 species